rfam:Pseudomonas aeruginosa PAO1, complete genome.
CGUCACCGAUCCAACGACCUGCCCAGUGCCAGGGCAUGGCAGCAACCCCAUCGUCCAGGGCUCUCCCGACGU